GUCCCUUCCGGACAUCCGAUAAAGAUGGAGCAAUACAGAAAAAAUUAGCAUGCCCAUUGCGGAAGGGUAACACGGACAAAUCGAGAAAUGGUCCAAUUUUUA
rnacentral:snRNA from 1 species